GGGGGUUGUUAAGGUGACAGGUUGGUUUUGCAAACCGACUCAGCGGGGUUCGAUUCCCCGAAUCUCCAC
rnacentral:tRNA from 3 species